UUUUUUUUUGCCACUUGGGAACAAACAGGCAUUAAGUCACCAACUGGAAUGGAGCGUGCAUUAUCUGAGCAAUCUAGGAGCAAUGAUUCGCCAAACCUGCUUUUUUCCAGUCCUAUAUUUUCUUCUGAUA